GGCACGCAUCAAGAAGAUCAUGCAGACGGACGAGGAGAUCGGGAAGGUGGCGGCCGCCGUCCCCGUCAUCAUCUCGCGGGCGCUCGAGCUCUUCCUGGCCGCGCUGCUCCGCCGCGCCUGUCACGUGACCCAGGCCCGCAACGCCAAGACCAUGACCACCGCCCACCU